rnacentral:rRNA from 1 species
UACGAAGGGGGCGAGCGUUAUUCGGAAUCACUGGGCGUAAAGCGUGCGUAGGCGGCCUCGCAAGUUAGAAGUGAAAGCCCAGGGCUCAACCCUGGAAUUGCUUUUAAAACUGCAAGGCUAGAAUCUCGGAGAGGAUAGCGGAAUUUCCAGUGUAGCAGUGAAAUGCGUAGAUAUUGGAAGGAACACCAGUGGCGUAAGCGGCUAUCUGGACGAGUAUUGACGCUGAGGCACGAAAGCGUGGGGAGCAAACAGG